UGGGGAAUAUUGCACAAUGGGCGAAAGCCUGAUGCAGCAACGCCGCGUGAGUGAUGACGGUCUUCGGAUUGUAAAGCUCUGUCUUUGGGGACGAUAAUGACGGUACCCAAGGAGGAAGCCACGGCUAACUACGUGCCAGCAGCCGCGGUAAUACGUAGGUGGCAAGCGUUGUCCGGAUUUACUGGGCGUAAAGGGUGCGUAGGCGGACCUUUAAGUGAGAUGUGAAAUCCCCGAGCUUAACUUGGGGGCUGCAUUUCAAACUGGAGGUCUAGAGUGCAGGAGAGGAGAGAGGAAUUCCUAGUGUAGCGGUGAAAUGCGUAGAGAUUAGGAAGAACACCAGUGGCAAGGCGACUCUCUGGACUGUAACUUACGCUGAGGCACGAAAGCGUGGGGAGCAAACAG
rnacentral:rRNA from 1 species